rnacentral:rRNA from 1 species
UUCCAGACUCCUACGGGAGGCAGCAGUGGGGAAUAUUGCACAAUGGGGGAAACCCUGAUGCAGCAACGCCGCGUGAGUGAAGAAGUAUUUCGGUAUGUAAAGCUCUAUCAGCAGGGAAGAAAAUGACGGUACCUGAGUAAGAAGCCCCGGCUAACUACGUGCCAGCAGCCGCGGUAAUACGUAGGGGGCAAGCGUUAUCCGGAUUUACUGGGUGUAAAGGGAGCGUAGACGGCGAUGCAAGUCUGAAGUGAAAGCCCGGGGCUCAACCCCGGGACUGCUCUUGGAACUGCGUGGCUGGAGUGCAGGAGGGGCAGGCGGAAUUCCUGGUGUAGCGGUGAAAUGCGUAGAUAUCAGGAGGAACACCGGUGGCGAAGGCGGCCUGCUGGACUGCAACUGACGUUGAGGCCCGAAAGCGUGGGGAGCAAACAGGAUUAGAUACCCGAGUA